ACACGACUACAUUAGAUACCCGCGUAGUCCUAGCCGUAAACGAUACUCGCUAGGUGUCGGCCACGGUGCGACCGUUGUCGGUGCCGUAGGGAAGCCGUGAAGCGAGCCACCUGGGAAGUACGGCCGCAAGGCCGAAACUUAAAGGAAUUGGCGGGGGAGCACCACAACGGGUGGAGCUUGCGGUUUAAUUGGAUUCAACGCCGGAAAUCUUACCGGGACCGACAGCAACAUGAAGGCCAGGCUGAAGACUUUGCCGGAUUAGCUG
rnacentral:rRNA from 1 species